rnacentral:rRNA from 1 species
ACUCAAAUGAAUUGACGGGGGCCCGCACAAGCGGUGGAACAUGUGGUUUAAUUCGACACUACGCGAGGAACCUUACCUAGGCUUGACAUACAUAUGACAGUCGUAGAAACACGAUCUUCUAGGCUUCGGUCUAGACAUAUGAACAGGUGCUGCAUGGCUGUCGUCAGCUCGUGUCGUGAGAUGUUGGGUUAAGUCCUUUAACGAGCGCAACCCUUGCUAUCAGUUGCUACUUGCUUUGCAAGGCACUCUGAUGGGACUGCCUGGGAAACCAGGAGGAAGGUGGGGAUGACGUCAAGUCCUCAUGGCCCUUAUGCCUAGGGCCACACACGUGUUACAAUGGUUGGUACAACGGGCUGCUAACUCGUAAGAGCAUGCUAAUCCCUUAAAACCAAUCUAAGUUCAGAUUGAGGUCUGCAACUCGACCUCAUGAAGUUGAAAUCGCUAGUAAUCGCGCAUCAGAACGGCGCGGUGAAUACGUUCUCGGGCCUUGUACACACCGCCCGU